rnacentral:rRNA from 1 species
UACGUAGGGGGCAAGCGUUGUCCGGAUUCAUUGGGCGUAAAGAGCGUGUAGGCGGCCAGGUAGGUCGGUUGUGAAAACUGGAGGCUCAACCUUCAGACGUCGACCGAAACCAUCUGGCUAGAGUCCGGGAGAGGAGAGUGGAAUUCCUGGUGUAGCGGUGAAAUGCGCAGAUAUCAGGAAGAACACCCGUGGCGAAAGCGGAUCUCUGGGCCUGUCCUGACGCUGAGGCGCGAAAGCUAGGGGAGCGAACAGG